GACGAACGCUGGCGGCGUGCUUAACACAUGCAAGUCGAACGAAGUGGCGAACGGGUGAGUAACGCGUAAUCAACCUGCCCUUCAGAGGGGGACACCAGUUGGAAACGACUGCUAAUACCGCAUACUGAAGGAGGGGAUUGCGUCUGAUUAGCUGGUUGGAGGGGUAACGGCCCACCAAGGCGAUGAUCAGUAGCCGGUCUGAGAGGAUGAACGGCCACAUUGGGACUGAGAAACGGCCCAGACUCCUACGGGAGGCAGCAGGGGGGAAUCGUCCGAAAUGGAGGAAAGUCUGACGGAGCAACGCCGCGGGAGUGAUGACGGCCUUCGGGUUGUAAAGCUCUGUUAAGCUGGACGCGGGACCGGAAUAGAAAGCCACGGCUAACUACGUGCCAGCCGCCGCGGUAAUAC
rnacentral:rRNA from 1 species